AUAAGGAGCACAGCUCCAUGAACAUGUGAAAAGGACAUGCCUAGUUGCAAUUACAUCACCUCACUGGACAUAAACAAUGGAUGCUGACUUUUACUGGGUGUAACCAAUCACCAACAUACACCACCAACUUGGAAUUGUAUUUAAAUUGCUGGUCCUGCCAUACUGAAGAGUUUUGCUACAAGGCCAUCAGUGAGAUUGGCGACCUUUCUGUCCAUCCCUGGACCUACUCCACCAUUCCCUGGUGUCCAGCCAUCAGCUGGAGAGAACUACCAGACAAGGACAACGUCUGCUCUUUGGCUAAGAGAAGUCAUGUGGCAUCGGAGGUAACCCAGAUGUGACUCCAGCAAUCAGCAGGGAUUAGAGAAGAAAGUCUCUCAUGUGAAGCUCAGAAGACAGUAAAAAAAAUGGAUAAGCAAAUAUAAAAGAAAAAAUUCCAGGAGUCAAGGAAAACUAUGAAGAAGUGUGAAGGAUAACCUGAGAUUAGAAGCCAGCAAUCCCAAUGCCAUUUGGGAGAGAAUGAAACAGGAGGGCCUAGUGUCCACAAGGAAUCUAGGUUAACUGACUAGAACAGGGGUGGCAGCCUCUGGCUUUCCAUUAUGUGCAGCCAUGGCAGGGCCCAGAAGAGAUCACUCAAAUUUAAUGGUGCAUAGCUUAAACUGACACACCACGUUCAGGAACAAUCUAUUCCUGCUUUCUCUGCAGAGUGCUAAUAUCUGCAACAAACACCUGAUUUAAACUGUGUGUAAAGUUAAAUAUUAAAUUACCAAAAUGUUUUCUUUAGCUCCAGUA